UAAAUGAAAGCCAAAGCAGAGGCGCCUAGCUGUUAAUUAGGAUACUGUAAACUUAAUUACUCAUUUAG
rnacentral:tRNA from 1 species